AGUGAACGCUGGCGGUAGGCCUAACACAUGCCAGUCGAACGGCAGCACAGUAAGAGCUUGCUCUUACGGGUGGCGAGUGGCGGACGGGUGAGGAAUACAUCGGAAUCUACUUUUUCGUGGGGGAUAACGUAGGGAAACUUACGCUAAUACCGCAUACGACCUACGGGUGAAAGCAGGGGAUCUUCGGACCUUGCGCGAUUGAAUGAGCCGAUGUCGGAUUAGCUAGUUGGCGGGGUAAAGGCCCACCAAGGCGACGAUCCGUAGCUGGUCUGAGAGGAUGAUCAGCCACACUGGAACUGAGACACGGUCCAGACUCCUACGGGAGGCAGCAGUGGGGAAUAUUGGACAAUGGGCGCAAGCCUGAUCCAGCCAUACCGCGUGGGUGAAGAAGGCCUUCGGGUUGUAAAGCCCUUUUGUUGGGAAAGAAAAGCAGCAGGUUAAUACCCCGCUGUUCUGACGGUACCCAAAGAAUAAGCACCGGCUAACGUCGUG
rnacentral:rRNA from 1 species